rnacentral:rRNA from 1 species
CCUACGGGUGGCAGCAGUAGGGAAUAUUGCUCAAUGGGGGAAACCCUGAAGCAGCAACGCCGCGUGGAGGAUGAAGGUUUUCGGAUUGUAAACUCCUUUUGUUAGAGAAGUUAAUUACGGUAUCUAACGAAUAAUCUCCGGCCAACUCCGUUCCAGCAGCCGCGGUAAUACGGAGGGUGCAAGCGUUACUCGGAAUCACUGGGCGUAAAGCGCGCGUAGGUGGGAUAGAAAGUCAGAGGUGAAAUCCUCGCGCUCAACGUGGGAACUGCCUUUGAAACUGGCAAACUGGAGUGUGGGUGAGGUUGGUGGAAUUCCAGGUGUAGGAGUGAAAUCCGUAGAUAUCAGGAGGAACAUCAAUGGCGAAGGCGACUAACUAGAACGUAACUGACGCUGAGGAGCGAAAGCGUGGGUAGCAAACAGGAUUAGAUACCCCUGUAGUC